rnacentral:rRNA from 1 species
CCUACGGGAGGCAGCAGUAGGGAAUAUUGCUCAAUGGGGGAAACCCUGAUGCAGCAACGCCGCGUGGAGGAUGAAGGUUUUCGGAUUGUAAACUCCUUUUGUUAGAGAAGAUAAUGACGGUAUCUAACGAAUAAGCACCGGCUAACUCCGUGCCAGCAGCCGCGGUAAUACGGAGGGUGCAAGCGUUACUCGGAAUCACUGGGCGUAAAGGGCGCGUAGGCGGGAUAGCAAGUCAGAUGUGAAAACCUAUGGCUUAACCAUAGAACUGCAUUUGAAACUGUUAUACUAGAGUAUGGGAGAGGGAGGUGGAAUUCGUGGUGUAGGGGUGAAAUGCGUAGAGAUCAAGAGGAAUACUCGUUGCGAAGGCGGCCUGCUAGAACAUAACUGACGCUGAUGCGCGAAAGCGUGGGGAGCAAACAGGAUUAGAUACCCGAGUAGUC